rnacentral:tRNA from 1 species
AGCUUCAUAGCGCAGUGGAAGCGCGCCGGGCUCAUAACCCGGCGGUCCUCCGAUCGAAACGGAGUAGAGCUA